rnacentral:rRNA from 1 species
ACGGGUGAGGAAUACAUCGGAAUCUGCCUAUUUGUGGGGGAUAACGUAGGGAAACUUACGCUAAUACCGCAUACGACCUACGGGUGAAAGCGGAGGACCUUCGGGCUUCGCGCAGAUAGAUGAGCCGAUGUCGGAUUAGCUAGUUGGCGGGGUAAAGGCCCACCAAGGCGACGAUCCGUAGCUGGUCUGAGAGGAUGAUCAGCCACACUGGAACUGAGACACGGUCCAGACUCCUACGGGAGGCAGCAGUGGGGAAUAUUGGACAAUGGGCGCAAGCCUGAUCCAGCCAUGCCGCGUGGGUGAAGAAGGCCUUCGGGUUGUAAAGCCCUUUUGUUGGGAAAGAAAAGCAGUCGGUUAAUACCCGGCUGUCAUGACGGUACCCAAAGAAUAAGCACCGGCUAACUUCGUGCCAGCAGCCGCGGUAAUACGAAGGGUGCAAGCGUUACUCGGAAUUACUGGGCGUAAAGCGUGCGUAGGUGGUGGUUUAAGUCAGAUGUGAAAGCCCCGGGCUCAACCUGGGAACUGCAUUUGAUACUGGAUCACUAGAGUGCGGUAGAGGAUAGCGGAAUUCCCGGUGUAGC